AAUCCAGUUUAUCCUGCUGGCGGCUGCGGCUCUCUGGUUUACACUUAGACAUGCAAGUCUUUCGCGAGAAGGCGAACUGCUCAGUAACACGUAGCUAACCUGCCCUUAAGUCAAGGAUAACCUCGGGAAACUGAGGAUAAUACUUGAUAAGAGAUAUACCCUGGAAAGAUUUAUCUCUAAAAUUCGAGCCUAAGGAUUGGGCUGCGGUGGAUUAGGUAGUUGGCGGGGUAAAUGCCCACCAAGCCUGUGAUCCAUAAGGGCUCUUAGCGGAGAGGCCCUGAGAGGGAAUCUGAGACACUAUUCCCAGCCCUACGGGGUGCAGCAGUUAGGAAUAAUUUGCAAUGCGCGCAAGCGUGACAAUUUGAGCCAGAGUGUUCCUCAUAGAGGAACUUUUGCCAAAUGUAAAAAGUUUGGCGAAUAAGGACUGGGCAAGACUAGUGCCAGCCGCCGCGGUAAUACUAGC
rnacentral:rRNA from 1 species